rnacentral:rRNA from 1 species
GAUGAACGCUAGCUACAGGCUUAACACAUGCAAGUCGAGGGGUAACGAGAGGAAAGCUUGCUUUCCUUGUCGACGUCCGGCGCACGGGUGAGUAACGCGUAUCCAACCUGCCCCUAACUAAGGAAUAACCUUGCGAAAGUAAGACUAAUACCUUAUAAUUUCCUCAGAUGUCAUCUGACGAGGAAUAAAGAUUUAUCGGUUGUGGAUGGGGAUGCGUCUGAUUAGCUUGUUGGCGGGGUAACGGCCCACCAAGGCAACGAUCAGUAGGGGUUCUGAGAGGAAGGUCCCCCACAUUGGAACUGAGACACGGUCCAAACUCCUACGGGAGGCAGCAGUGAGGAAUAUUGGUCAAUGGGCGGAAGCCUGAACCAGCCAAGUAGCGUGCAGGAUGACGGCCCUAUGGGUUGUAAACUGCUUUUAUACAGGAAUAAAGUUAGCCACGUGUGGUUAUUUGUAGGUACUGUAUGAAUAAGGACCGGCUAAUUCCGUGCCAGCCGCCGCAGUAA